CAAAGUGAUGUCCACACAAUGUCUGGGUCUCCACCACAGAUGUGAAUAUUAACACCAGCAGAUGGAGGGAUUCGCCUGAAGGUUUACUGAGUGAAUGGACCAGGCUGAACUCCUGCCUUCGUAAAUGGAACCCUCAAGAGAUUUUCAUCUCCAGGCCAACAUUGUAAAGAAUGCCGGGCAACCGGAGGGCAGGCAGGACGGCUGAACACAGAUGGCGAAGGAGACAUCUGAGCAACGUGUUCGACGG